GAAAAUGGCGAUGCCUACAGUGUUCUCGACUUCGUCGCGGAUGCUUGCUCUGUCAAGGCACAGCCUAUUGUCUCCUUUGCUCAGCGUGACAUCAUUCAGAUGCUUCUACAGAGGUGACAGUCCAACAGAUUCCCAAAAGGACUUGAUUGAAAUCCCUUUGCCUCCAUGGCAGGAGAGAACUGAUGAAUCCAUAGAAACCAAAAGAGCCCGCCUGCUCUAUGAGAGCAGAAAGAGGGGAAUGUUGGAAAACUGCAUUCUUCUUAGUCUUUUUGCUAAAGAACAUCUGCAGCACAUGACAGAGAAGCAGCUGAACCUCUAUGACCGCCUGAUUAACGAGCCUAGUAAUGACUGGGAUAUUUACUACUGGGCCACAGGUCCGGAAGGUCCAUUUCGACACCCAGGAGCACGGGCCUCAGGCCAUCACGGGGCUGGAGCCCAGGGAAGUGCCCCUGCUCCACCAGCAGCAGGGCCAGGACCCGCUGGAGCGGGAGAACUUCCGAUAUGGCCCACGCUUCAUGACUUCGGAGUACAGUUCCAAAUAUCUCAGGGACCCUCUAGACCAGCCAGAUUUCUUGCAGAAGAAAUCGAUCG
rnacentral:sRNA from 1 species